GCUCAGCCCCAAACCUAGAUAUUUAACAUACAAAAAUAUCCGCCAGAGAACUACGAGCAAACGCUUAAAACUCUAAGGACUUGGCGGUGCCUUAAUCCCCCUAGAGGAGCCUGUUCUAUAAUCGAUAAUCCACGAUCCACCUCACCAUCUCUUGCCAAUACCGCCUAUAUACCACCGUCACUAGCCUACCCUGUGAAGGAUAUAAAAGUAAGCAAAAUAGCUAACUAUACAGCUAAUAAGUCAGGUCAAGGUGUAGCUAACUGAGAUGGAAGAAAUGGGCUACAUUUUCUAAACUAGAAAUUACCUCACAGAAAGAAUCAUGAAACAGAUUCCACAAGCAGGAUUUAGCAGUAAAUAAGAAUCAGAAUGUCUAAUUUAAGCUGGACUCAAGGCACGC
rnacentral:rRNA from 1 species